UGGCUACUAGGGUAUCUAAUCCUGUUUGCUCCCCACGCUUUCGUUCCUCAGCGUCAAGAAUGGUCCAGUUAGCCGCCUUCGCCACUGGUGUUCUUCCGAAUAUCUACGAAUUUCACCUCUACACUCGGAAUUCCACUAACCUCUCCCAUCUUCAAGCGAAGCAGUCUCAAAGGCAGUUCCACGAUUGAGUCGUGGGCUUUCACCUCUGACUUACAAAGCCGCCUACGAACGCUUUACGCCCAGUAAUUCCGAAUAACGCUAGCUCCCUCCGUAUUACCGCGGCUGCUGGCAC
rnacentral:misc_RNA from 1 species